AGAUUGAACGCUGGCGGCAGGCCUAACACAUGCAAGUCGAGCGGCAGCACGGGUACUUGUACCUGGUGGCGAGCGGCGGACGGGUGAGUAAUGCCUAGGAAUCUGCCUGAUAGUGGGGGAUAACGUUCGGAAACGGACGCUAAUACCGCAUACGUCCUACGGGAGAAAGUGGGGGAUCUUCGGACCUCACGCUAUCAGAUGAGCCUAGGUCGGAUUAGCUAGUUGGUAGGGUAAAGGCCUACCAAGGCUACGAUCCGUAACUGGUCUGAGAGGAUGAUCAGUCACACUGGAACUGAGACACGGUCCAGACUCCUACGGGAGGCAGCAGUGGGGAAUAUUGGACAAUGGGCGAAAGCCUGAUCCAGCCAUGCCGCGUGUGUGAAGAAGGUCUUCGGAUUGUAAAGCACUUUAAGUUGGAGAAGGCAUUAACCUAAUACGUUAGUGUUUUGACGUUACGACAGAAUAAGCACCGGCUAACUCUGUGCCAGCAGCCG
rnacentral:rRNA from 1 species